rfam:Harpegnathos saltator strain R22 G/1 HarSal_1.0_1.contig5047, whole genome shotgun sequence.
CGUCAGGUAGCUCAGUUUAGAGCAGUCGCCCGGCAAGCGAAAGACCCGGGUUCGACUCCCCGUCUAGCGA